AUAAUCUUUGGAAAGAAAAGAAAGGUAAGAAAGGAGCUACUUGUAAAGGGAACAAUUCAGUUAACUGGUCAGUUGUUUUGUAUACACAAGAUUGAAAAAAACUUUCCUUGAUUGCUUUUCACUGAAUAGACUUGGUCACUUUACCAUGAAUGUGGGUACGUUCUAAUCCUCUGAGUGGUGAGCUGGAUUUUUCUCUAAAUAGAAUCAAGUAAGCACAGAAACAAAAACAAAGAUAGAGAAACAGAAAAAACAAUAGCAACAGCAAUAACCUGCUUCAAGGACUGACCUAACCCAGGACCACAGGCUUUAUUUGCAGGGUAGUAGGUGCAUGAGCUCCCUGGAAAUCACACCUCAAUAUGACCUCUAUAGGUGCUGCUUUUUGUGUUGGGCCCAGGAAACGAUAAGGUGAUGGCUUAGUUUCUGGAAUCAGAGCAGCAGCUAAAUGAGUUGUUUCAGUCCUGUGUGGGGUCCACCUCUAGCACCAAAACUGAGCAUCUUAGCUAGUUCUUCACUCAGCUGCACAUGCACCGAGCCUAGACAAGAUGCGGUUACAUAAGACAGGGAUGUCCUGAGCCCCACCUAUUGGUGCUUAUGACCUAACAAAGACACAGGAAGGCUUAUGCAUGAGAAACAAGCAGAGUUGGAUACAGUCACACACUGGAUUGGGAGGAACAGCCUGAGCUCAUGGGAAGAACAUUGGUCAACAGCCAAGGAGAGAGGAGAGUCAUCAGAUGCUACACCACAGGAGUGGCACUUGAUGAACAAAACAGCCAAUGGGGGAAACCAGGAAGAAGGACCUUGGGUUUUGUGAGGUGCCACUGAGGUACAAGACAUUGACGCUCUGAUGAUGUGGUGAAGUGGAAGAGACUCCGCAAAGCCACACUGCUAUCCUUUUCACUGUUCCCCAUUGAAACCCUCUUGAUUCUAUCAUUUUCAAAAUGGCAACUGGGGCACCUGGUUGGCUCAGUCAGUUAAGCGUCCAA